GUAACUUUUUUCAAAACCAUGUGCUUCACUAGUAAUCAUUUCUUCCCAACUCUUGCAUUUUAGCUUUAUUUGUUAUGUUUCUUUGACCUUCCUCAUAAAGCAAUUAUGUAUAUUUCUUUCAAUUUUUUAAGUAAGCUACAAGAUGAAAAUAAUAGUCUUAUUUUCUCAUAUAACACUCAACAAAAUCAGCAAGGAAAUAUGAUGGCUUACUGAGCUUGAGCCUUGUACUGUAUCUCAAACUUUCUGAAACUUUUUGAAGGAGGACAUCUCUCCCAAGUUUCAGGACACCAUCAAGAGAUUCAUCGAGGAUGACAUGGAAAAGGUGAAAGGUUUCAUAAAAGAAUCAAUUGUUCCUUUCAGACAGAGGUUGAAGAUUAUGGUUGAGUUGCUAUGUUUUUCAGUGAAUUUUUCAAAAUUUUAGAGAUAUGGAGAAAAUUAGGGGAAGUUUAUUAGUAUGCAUGGCAUGAUUAGACCCUUAUGUGGCAUCCAAGUGGCGUUUAACAGAUUCUGUUAAUAGAAAGUGUAUUUUUUACCCUAUAGUUUGACGCGAAGGGUAUAUUUGAGCCGAAAUAUAGUUCAAGGGUAUAUGUGAGCUAUUUCGGAUAGAUCAAGGGUAUUUUUGACCUUUUUCUGUUAAAACUAUUAAGAAUCUAAAUAAUUAGAACCUCAACUAAUGAGAUAUAUGUAAUUUACCCAAGAAAUAAUACGUAAAAGAAUUUAUUAAUGUAAUAAGCGUGUGGAACAAUUCUUCUUAAAUUUUGUUUUUAAUUUGCUAACCGUGUUCUGAUAUUUUAUG